CUUGUCGGUGGCUUUCCUUUAUCUUGAAGAUUAAGCCAUGCAUGUCUAAGUAUGAACUGGUUUAAGGUGAAACUGCGUACGGCUCAUUACAUCAGCUAUAACUUUCUUUGAUCAUAACUCCUAAAUGGAAUAACCGAGGAAAAGCCUGGGCUAAUACAUGCGAUAGUUCCGAUAGCAAUAUCGGGAUGCUUUUUAUUAGAUCAAAACCUUCUGGUUCCUUCACUGGAGCUGUUUGUUAGGUGACUCUAAAUAACUUUGUGUUGAUCGUAUGACCUCCGUGUCGACGACAUAUCUUUCAAGUGUCUGACUUAUCAACUUUAGACGGUACAUUAUAUGUCUACCGUGGUUGUAACGAGUACAGAGAAUCAGGGUUUGGUUCUGGAGAGGCCGCCUGAGAAACGGCGACCACUUCCAAGGAAGGCAGCAGGCGCGCAAAUUACCCACUCUCAAAACGAGGAGGUAGUGAAGAGAAAUAACGAUGUUA
rnacentral:rRNA from 1 species